AGUUGAACAACCAAUCAGCAACCAUCUGAGUAGAAUCUUAUCUAAAAUCUGUUUGGAGAAUGAAGAGUCUCAUCAUCGCCAGUGUUCUCGUGGUUGCUAUGGCAAUGAUGGCAGCAGCCGCACCUAAUCCAGAUUGAUCAAUACGGAGGAGUGAUCUCAUUCAAAAAUUGCUUAAGGAAAUGGCAGAGGCAAAGGAAGAAGAAGCUCCCAGUCAGGAAAUGUGUAUAGACCAAAAUGAUGAAGUGGAAUGUACUUGCAUUCGUUUCAAGGGCAAGAAACCAGUGUGUGUGGGGUCUAACUGUAAUGCCGAACCAGCUGGUACACAAGGAUGGAAUCCAUUUGAAGAAGGGGUGCUCCAUAAACAAGGAUGGAAUCCAUUUGAAGACGGAGUGCUCCAUAAUUAAACAUAAGGACUGAUAUAUAGUCGUGACUAAAAACAAGAUGUAAUUAUUAUAAAUAGCAGAUGAAUAUAAUACAACGUAUAGUGACCAUGCAGACACAUGUAUAAGGUCAGUAUUAUUUUUCAGUUGUAUAUAGACCAUUGUGCAAGCCAUGCAUAAUAUCCUUAUGACCCUGCCAGGGUACUUAACCCUUUUGCCGUCAGUUAGACAAAAUAAAGACAAUAUUAAUUUUGGUAAGGUUUAAUAUUCAGUUUCGGUUGCCUAGCAACCUAAAUUGAGAUUUAGUUUUAGCAAUAGCUUAUACACACAUGCAUUAUAUCAUGAUGAACAUUUUGUACUAACUGCAUUCAAGCAGAAUCCAGAAUUACUGGGAAACUCAAUGAGUGCAUGGGAAAUGAUUAUUGUUAAAAAGGAUCGAUGCCAAAACAUCCAUGUCUAAAAUUAAUGGCUGCUGCAUCAGCAGAGCCUUGCAGCUCUCUUCUCACUCUUGAAGCUACCAAUAGCUAGUGUUCUAGUGCAGAGCUAUCUACUAAGUAGAGUAGCAACACUCCAUGGACAAGUUUUUCUACGCACUCUUCUGAAAAGGCUUGAAAUGCAUGGCAUUCCAAAUAAGCAAAACUAGGCAUAACUCAAGAACCAAGCAUUAUUUUGCAAAUCCACGAAUUAAAAACAUGACUAGAAGCCUAUAGAAACUCUUACUUGCACUUCAUUGAUCACACGCCUAGCGCCUAUGUUAAAAUGUUGUGGAGGUCAGCUUGCCCACGAAAAUAACGAAUAUUUUUUAUUUACCCCACGAAAAGUACCUGCCGCAUAUACGGUAUUGUCAUUAUCAGAUGCUACGUAUAAAGUGAACCCCUGUCCAUAUAGGCAUCAAUCAAUCAUCAAUCAAUCAAUCAAUCAAUCAUCAAGCCUCACAUUACGGAAGAGUAUCAAUCCACUGCAGUGAGGUGAAGUACAUGCAUGCAUGGUGGGUUUGGAAUGAGGGAUGAAACAACUCGAUAAUUUACUGUUAAUAGGAUAAUUUCUCGGUGGAGUGAUCUCUCAGAGUAUCAAUUAACAGUAAAUGGGUUGUAUGUACAUGUAACUGUGCAUGCACGUUCACAGGGCACUAAUGGAGUUCAUGCGUGGUGCUGUUUGGAAUGAGAGGGAUGAAACAACUUACUGUUAAUAUAAUAUAGGAUAACUUCUCGGUAGAGUGAUCUUUCAGUCAGUGAGUGAUUUUAUAUCCAUUAACAGUAAAUGGGUUGUACGUAACUGUGCGUGCACAUUCACAGGGUAUACUAAUGGAGUUCAUGCGUGGUGCUGUUUGGAAUGAGAGGGAUGAAGGGAAGCCACUUUGAUCUUCUGUAUAUAAAAUGAUGCUAGGUGGCUACACACAUCCAUGACCACACUCGCCAACUAACUGAAGUUGAACAACCAAUCAGCAACCAUCUGAGUCUUAUCUAAAUCUGUUUGGAGAAUGAAGGGUCUCAUCAUCGCCUGUGUUCUCGUGGUUGCUGUGGCAAUGAUGGCAACAGCCGUACCUAAUUCAGAUCGACCAAUACGGAGGAGUGCAGACUUUAAUCGCAUUCAAGAGUUGCUCAAGGAAAUGGCAGAGGCAAAGGAAGAAGAAGCUCCCAGUCAGGAAAUGUGUAUAGACCAAAAUGAUGAAGUGGAGUGUACUUGCAUUCGUUUCAAGGGCAAGAAGCACCCAGUGUGUGUGGGGUCUAACUGUAGUGCUGAACCAGCUGGUAUACAAGAACGUUGCUCUCCCGGAAAUCCCUCGUGUCAUCCACCAAAUCCAACAUGGCCUAAAUAAGGACUGAUAUAUAAUACUUGUGCUAAAAAACAAGAUGUAAUUAUGAUGAUAGUUAUUGAAUACAGGCUGAUGCAUGCUAGUGACUAGACUUAGUGCAUGUCAUUUUGUCAGUAUUAUUUUUCAGUUGUAGAGCAUUGUGCAAGCCGUGCAUAAUAUCGUUAUGACCCUG